rnacentral:rRNA from 1 species
UACAGAGGGUGCGAGCGUUACUCGGAAUUACUGGGCGUAAAGGGCUCGUAGGCGGCCAACUAAGUCAGACGUGAAAUCCCUCGGCUUAACCGGGGAACUGCAUCUGAUACUGGAUGGCUUGAGUUCGGGAGAGGGAUGCGGAAUUCCAGGUGUAGCGGUGAAAUGCGUAGAGAUCGGGAAGAACAUCGGUGGCGAAAGCGCUCUACUGGACCGCAACUGACACUCAGGGACGAAAGCUAGGGGAGCGAAUGGG